ensembl:snoRNA Gm25200 small nucleolar RNA SNORA51
GGAGGCCUGCUCACCACACGCUGUAUUCUUAUGCUGACAGUUUAUAGAGAGGAGGCAGAGCAAACCAACUCCCUAUACAGCUUAGCCCAGACGACUGUGCCUGAUCUGUAUUGUGAAUGGGGAUACGUGG